rnacentral:snRNA from 1 species
GUGCUCACUACAGUAGAACAUCUGCUAGAAUUGGAAUGAUAGAGUAGCAGGCUCCCUGAAAAACAAGGACAUACAAAUUAGUAGAAUGUUUCAUAUUUUU